rnacentral:rRNA from 1 species
GCCAGACUCCUACGGGAGGCAGCAGUGAGGAAUAUUGGUCAAUGGGCGAGAGCCUGAACCAGCCAAGUCGCGUGAGGGAGUACUGCCCUAUGGGUUGUAAACCUCUUUUGUCGGGGAGCAAAAGCCGGACGUGUCCGGCUGUGAGAGUACCCGAAGAAAAAGCAUCGGCUAACUCCGUGCCAGCAGCCGCGGUAAUACGGAGGAUGCGAGCGUUAUCCGGAUUUAUUGGGCGUAAAGGGUGUGCAGGCGGCUGAGUAAGACAGAUGUGAAAUCCCCGGGCUUAACCUGGGAACCGCAUAUGUGACUGCUUGGCUAGAGUGCGUCUGAGGGAGGUGGAAUUCCACGUGUAGCAGUGAAAUGCGUAGAUAUGUGGAAGAACACCGAUGGCGAAGGCAGCCUCCUGGGACGCAACUGACGCUCAUACACGAAAGCGUGGGGAGCAAACAGGAUUAGAUACCCGAGUAC